GGAGACUCCUGCGUCCUCCGACUUUUCAUGGCUGGAUCCUCAUUGACCGCUGUGGGAAGCACUUUGGUACGAUACUCAACUACCUUCGAGACGGGGCGGUGCCUUUACCCGAGAGCCGCCGGGAGAUCGAGGAGCUGCUAGCAGAAGCCAAGUACUACCUAGUCCAAGGCCUGGUGGAAGAGUGCCAGGCGGCCCUACAACCAUGACUGCCCCAUCUCCCCUCGCCAGAGCCUGUCCAGCCGGUCAACUUUAAAAAUGCAGUGCUAGGCAGGCCUCCUAGGCUGAAAGCAUGUUUUGUUCCAGCAGAACAAAGAUACUUAUGAGCCUUUCUGCAAGGUCCCUGUGAUCACCUCAUCCAAGGAAGAACAAAAACUUAUAGCGACUUCAAAUAAGCCAGCCGUGAAGUUGCUCUACAACAGAAGUAACAACAAAUACUCAUAUACCAGCAAUUCUGACGACAAUAUGUUGAAAAACAUUGAACUGUUUGAUAAGCUGUCUCUGCGCUUUAACGGAAGGGUCCUGUUCAUAAAGGAUGUUA
rnacentral:lncRNA from 1 species